rfam:Mesorhizobium loti strain TFLA 01-765 contig_7, whole genome shotgun sequence.
GGGGCUGUAGCUCAGCUGGGAGAGCGCAUCGUUCGCAAUGAUGAGGUCAGGGGUUCGAUCCCCCUCAGCUCCA